rnacentral:rRNA from 1 species
CCUACGGGAGGCAGCAGUGGGGAAUCUUAGACAAUGGGCGCAAGCCUGAUCUAGCCAUGCCGCGUGAGUGAUGAAGGUCUUAGGAUCGUAAAGCUCUUUCGCUAGGGAUGAUAAUGACAGUACCUAGUAAAGAAGCCCCGGCUAACUCCGUGCCAGCAGCCGCGGUAAUACGGAGGGGGCUAGCGUUGUUCGGAAUUACUGGGCGUAAAGCGUACGUAGGCGGAUCAGAAAGUAUGGGGUGAAAUCCCAGGGCUUAACCCUGGAACUGCCUCAUAAACUCCUGGUCUUGAGUUCGAGAGAGGUGAGUGGAAUUCCAAGUGUAGAGGUGAAAUUCGUAGAUAUUUGGAGGAACACCAGUGGCGAAGGCGGCUCACUGGCUCGAUACUGACGCUGAGGUACGAAAGUGUGGGGAGCAAACAGGAUUAGAUACCCUGGUAGUCCACACCGUAAACGAUGAGUGCCAGUCGUCGGGCAGUAUACUGUUCGGUGACACACCUAACGGAUUAAGCAUUCCGCCUGGGGAGUACGGUCGCAAGAUUAAAACUCAAAGGAAUUGACGG